CUCGAAAAGACACGUACACAUACGAAAACAAUCGACUUUUCAACGAGUGUGUAAAUGAUACUGACGAAUUACACGCAAUAGUUGUGUGUAGAUUUCAUCAUUAAUACACGUGUACUUAAACUGAUAGAUUCAUACAAAAUAUAUUGUAUUUAGUUGUUAGCAAUUUUACUUCGGCAUAUUUCGUCAAAUGGCGCGAAUGAUUAGAAACCGGUUUCAGUUCAUAAUGCAAAUACAUCCUAAAACGGGAUCCGGUUAAUAUCUGAGGAAAAAUACUCCAUUGCGCAUCUAGCGCGCAUUUACCAUGCGGUUUGACCAUGCUCGUCAUAGAAUGGGGAAGACGUAGGAGAGACGAGAUGUGUUCGAAGAAAAUGAGCUGCCCAUAUUACGGGAACAAUCGCAUAACGUGAGCGGCUGCUGCGUUGGAUAACAGCUCACAUGCCGUUUCCAUGGUAUUCCUGUUUCUACAGAUACAGUGAUGUCCGAUCAGAAAAUACCCCUUAAUACAUCAGUCAAUGGGAAAGUUGCUGGAAGCUGCCAUCCGUCACACAUCGACAUGAUUGAUUGUGACAUGAAUCUGGCUUGAGGGCAGCAUGACAGGAUGGAGGUUCCACACAAUGAGAUGCCUGUGAUAAAAGUGACAUCAAGAAGCUGUCUUGAGUGCAGUUUGACAGGGCACAAGUUUGGAGAUUCUAUCCUAGAUGGCCAAAGUGACAUGAAUCUGGCUUGAGGGCAGCAUGACAGGAUGGAGAUUCCACACAAUAUCAGAUACCUGUGAUAAAAGGAAGCUUGUGAACAUGGUUGAAAGAAGACAGUCUUUACCAGAAGUGUAUGUUGUGCAAAGUGCAUUUCAAUAAACCUUAGUUGAAACUUGA